UACGGAGGGUGCAAGCGUUGUUCGGAAUCAUUGGGCGUAAAGCGCGUGUAGGCGGCUUGGCAAGUCAGUUGUGAAAGCCCGGGGCCCAACCCCGGAACUGCAUCUGAAACUGCUUGGCUCGAGUCCCGGAGAGGAAGGCAGAAUUCCCGGUGUAGGGGUGAAAUGCGUAGAUAUCGGGAGGAACACCAGUGGCGAAGGCGACUACCUGGGCUGUUUAUUGACGCUGAGGCGCGAAAGCUAGGGGAGCAAACGGG
rnacentral:rRNA from 1 species